GACGAACGCUGGCGGCGUGCUUAACACAUGCAAGUCGAACGGAAAGGCCUCUUUCGGGGGGUACUCGAGUGGCGAACGGGUGAGUAACACGUGAGUAACCUGCCCUUGACUUUGGGAUAACUUCAGGAAACUGGGGCUAAUACCGGAUAGGAGCUCCUGCUGCAUGGUGGGGGUUGGAAAGUUUCGGCGGUUGGGGAUGGACUCGCGGCUUAUCAGCUUGUUGGUGGGGUAGUGGCUUACCAAGGCCUUGACGGGUAGCCGGCCUGAGAGGGUGACCGGCCACAUUGGGACUGAGAUACGGCCCAGACUCCUACGGGAGGCAGCAGUGGGGAAUAUUGCACAAUGGGUGGAAGCCGGAUGCAGCAACGCCGUGUGCGGGAUGACGGCCUUCGGGUUGUAAACCGCUUUCGCUCAUGACGAAGCUUUGUGUGACGGUAGUGGGUAAAGAAGCACCGGCUAACUACGUG
rnacentral:rRNA from 1 species